GUUUUCGUCUGUUGAUAACACGCACCUAGACGCGUUUCCUCUUCACUUGUGAGAGGCACAUUUUUAACUUUAACAGCAGCCGAAUAAUAAGAUGACUUCCCAGGAGGUGCGCCUGUGCGGUCUUCUACUUCGGGAGCACUUUGGAGAAGUGGUAGAGAAAGUUGGAACGAAUCUGCUCAGAGGUGGAGGACAAAAUCUCAGGAGCAUCAUUCAAGAAACCGGCGUCUCUCUGGACUUGGUGAAAAGGUCCCUGUGUGUGCUCAUGCAACACGGAACUUGCAUGUUCAGCCCGGGCCGCAAAGGACCAGGCAGCCCCACCGAGUAUCACAUCAGCUGCGAUCUCAUUCUGAAGAUCCUCCGCUACCCGCGCUACAUCUACACCGCCAAGACGCUGUACGGCGACACCGGAGAGCUCAUCAUAGAGGAAUUGCUGCAGAGAGGUCAUGUGACCAUGAGCAACAUUGUUAAAGUAGUCGCGGAUCGCCUCACUCAGACCAUGGAGGAGGGCCGCAGCAUGGAUUACAAGGAAGUGUCAUCUGCCUUUUCCAACCUGGUGGAGACUCAUUUUCUACAACGCUGCCCCCCGAUGGCAAGUGCUGCAACCAAGGACAAUCCAGCUACUACUGAAGCUCCUAUUAGCACCGAGCUGCUGGCUCCAGAGAGUUUCCCCGACUGCUACAUGGUGCCACAAGUGACUCUCGUGGGACGUGGUAAGAGGCAGCUUGAGGAUCCAGAGGACCAAAGCGUUGCAAAGAAGGCCAGGAUGGAAUCGGUGGCUCUUGGCGACGAGGGCAUUUACUGGCAGGUGAACUUUGACAGGUUCCAUCUCCAUUUCCGAGACCAAGCUAUCAUCAGCGCUGUGGCCAACAAGCUUGACCAGACCAGCAGUGAGAUCGUACGGACCAUGCUGAGGAUGAGCGAGGUGACCACUUCGCCCACGGCCGCCUACACAAAGCCCCUCUCGGCCAACGAGAUCUUCAGAUCCCUGCCGGCCACCUACAACAUUCCCAGACAAGUGUUAGACCAGUACCUCUCUCUGCUGGUCGAUGACCCAAUGGAGUUUGUGGGCAAAGCUGGUGAGAGUGGAGGCGGGAUGUAUGUUGUCAAUUUGCAUAGAACACUUACCAAUCUAGCACGGGCCACGCUAGAGUCUGUAGUCCAGGAGAGAUUUGGAUCCCGAUCGGCGCGCAUCUUCCGCCUUUUGCUAAAGAAGAAACACCUAGAACAGAAGCAGGUGGAGGAUUUUGCCAUGAUUCCCGCCAAGGAGGCUAAAGACAUGCUCUACACGCUUCUCUCGCAGAACCUGGUCCAGCUGCAGGAAAUCCCAAAGACUCCAGACUUUGCUCCGUCUCGCACCUUUUAUCUUUACACCGUCAACCAGCUCUCUACUGCGAGGAUGCUGCUUCAGAACUGCUACAAGACAGUGGCAAACCUUAUACACAGACGUCUAUUUGAGACAUCAAACAGCAAGCGUCUGCUGGAGAAGUCUCAGCGCAUAGAGGCCAUCCUGGCGUCCCUGCAGGCCGGCGGGGCGGAGCCAGAGCAGCUGACGGAGGUGGAAGAGAUGAUCACAGCUCCUGAAAAGCAACAGCUGGAGUCUCUGCGGCUUCAUAUUAACAAGUUGGAUUCAGCGGAGAACCAAGUAGAUGAAACCAUCUUUCUGCUCGAAUCUUACAUCCACGCCACUGCCACUUCCUCAAGUUGAGGACUAAAAAACAAGCAUACUUCAGUAACAAAUUCUAUCCUGGUACAAGGAGGAUGAUGGGACUUGCCAUUUUUCUUGGGCAGGUAAUGCCAUCCAUUGUAAUUCAUUUGGCAAAAAGAGAAAAUAAUUUCCUCUAUUAGCAUUUCCAACUGGAUUUGCACCCCUCCACAAAGUUUCAUGAAAAUUGGUUGUGUAGUUUUUGGGGAUACCUCCCACCCUCGCACCUUAUGUGCUUAGUGGGUGGGGACAAUUAUUUUCAUCACAGUUUUGAGAAGCAAUGAUUGAAAUGUGAAACCAAGACCGUGUCUGUUUAUUAAAUAGAAGAAAUUUGAGACACUUCCAAAUACAAAAAAAAAGACUAUUUACAUAAGUUCUCUGAGCCCUGGAACUAGUGGGUAGUGCAUUUCUCUUGUAGGGCUGAGAAACUUCCUUUGGCCAUUGAGGGACACCUGAUGCUUUUUGUCUUUGGGCCUGCUUGGAGGUGGAAUGACUGACAUUAGCCUACAGAUUGCCUUGCAAGUGUUGGUUUCAGUCUUCUUGGUUCUCAUCUUCUCUGUGUUUGCGUGCGAAGAAGCCAAGCUGUUGAGAAGUGACACCGAAUUAGACUGUGAACUCUACAAUGAAGCAAGUUUACUUGAUGAACAGAAAUAUACAUGCAUACUUUCCAUAGUAUGAAGAUGAUGAGCGCCAGUAGCAGCAAACCACCAAUGAUGCUCCCAAUAAGAAUCCAGAGUGAGAUGGGAAUGGCUCUUCCCUUCAGCACCUCCAGUACAGUCUUUAGGCAAGGGGACAUAUUAGAGAAGGUUCUUAUCAUUGGGAUGGUUUGUAACAUGCUGCUUUUACCUCUCGCCACACUGUUCCUGUUGCCAGGGUGAUGAGGUUGGUCUCGUGAGGCGCGAUCUGAUACAAGCUGACGAUCCUUGCUGACUUAUAUUUGGCCUGCAGGCAAAAAGACACAAGGCGAGAGAAAAGGCCCCAAAAAUCUUCCACCGAGGAUACGUUUACAGCCGGCCCAGUGGACGACUGAUUAGCACAUCUGCCUCGCAGUUCUGGGAACUGGGGUUCAAAUCCCGGCCCCGCCUGUGUGGAGUUUGCAUGUUCUCCCCAUGCCUGCGUGGGUUUUCUCUGGGCACUCCGGUUUCCUCCCACAUCUCAAAAACAUGCACGGGCAUCUGUGCAUUCCUUUGCAAUGGUGCCACGAUGGAGAGGAAGCUUACACGACCAACACACGCACAGACUGACCAGAAGCCGCACCCUGUUUGUCUGCAUGAAACUUGCACUCAGUGGGACCUGCUUGCGCUUGAGCCGCAGCUGUGCGCUAGUGACAUACGGCCGUGUGAUCUGCGUGGACAAACGAACGCAUCGAAGACAGGUGGAACUAAAUAAAAGGAGUGACUGAUCCAAUGGGAAGCUUCUGCUUGAUGUUGACGCUUCACUUUGUCAUCACUACCUUGUUUCCUUCUGCUGAUGGAACUUUGGAAUUUCUUUCAUCAUUGAUUGAUUUCAGUAUAUUCUUACAUAACUGUAAAUCUCACAUAAUGUACUCGCAAAAAAAA